rnacentral:misc_RNA from 1 species
UUUUUUCUUUCUUUCUUUUCCUUCCCCUUAACCCAAAUUUAUGGCUUUUGGUUGUGGUGCUAGUGUAUUUGGCUAGGACAUUUUUGGGAUCAGAUUUUGCCUCUGUAGUUGCUGCAUGAUUAACUUGUUUCUUUGACUUUGUUGAGGAUUUCUUCUUCUGGGCAUUCAACUUGCUGCCAUCCAGCAUGAUUGGAGGCCUUUACUUUCUUUUAUAUAUAUAUAUUUUUUUCUCUUGGUUCACUUAGAAAAGGAUUCCUGAUCCUCAUUUUUGUAAUGAUUUCCUUCAUUUUAUCCCCAAAAAGGGCCAAAGAACUGCAAAGAACUUUCUUUUAUGCCUUGUUGCCUUUUCUUUUCCAGGAUGAUUAAGUCCUUGAGGAGUGA